UGAGCAAUCUGCCCUUCUCAUCGGAAUAAGCGUUGGAAACGACGUCUAAUGCCGAAUACGACCUCCUUUCGCAUGAUCGGAGGUGGAAAGCUCCGGCGGAGAAGGAUGAGCUCGCGGCCUAUCAGCUAGUUGGUGUGGUAAAAUGCCCACCAAGGCGACGACGGGUACGCCGGCCUGAGGAGGGUGACCGGCCUCACGUGGGACUGAGACGACCGGCCCACGACCUCCGUACGGGAGGCACG
rnacentral:rRNA from 1 species